CUUCGGAUUCUGAAUUGCUUUCCCUGGGAGUUGCCCUGGAGGUUUUGGAGCAGAAGUAGAUGCAGAUUGUCCCUCUAAGUAUCGGACUUUGGAAUUCAAUGCCUCUACUUUGACAUUCAGGUCAUUGUAGCUACAGUCCAGCUUAUUGUGUAAUUCAGAUAUCUUCUUAGCAAUCUCCAUGGAGCCAGAUGCUUGUCCUUGGAGAAGCUGUUGUAGCAUUUGCUUCAUGUCAGAAUCAGG
rnacentral:lncRNA from 1 species